CUAGCCCUGAAUCAAGGCUGGCAGCUUCCUGACGCUGUUGGUUUCAAGCCUAAAGAGAUGUCUUUCUAUGGUCUGUUGGCUACUUCAGAACUUGGGCAGUGAAAUGGUCAAUUCAUUAGAAAGAAACAGCU
ensembl:snoRNA small nucleolar RNA SNORA2/SNORA34 family